rnacentral:rRNA from 1 species
UACGUAGGGUGCAAGCGUUGUCCGGAAUUAUUGGGCGUAAAGAGCUCGUAGGCGGUCUGUCACGUCGGACGUGAAAACCCAGGGCUCAACCCUGGGCCUGCAUUCGAUACGGGCAGACUAGAGUUCGGUAGGGGAGACUGGAAUUCCUGGUGUAGCGGUGAAAUGCGCAGAUAUCAGGAAGAACACCAAUGGCGAAAGCAGCUCUCUGGGACGGUACUGACGCUGAGGCACGAAAGCUAGGGGAGCAAACAGG